ensembl:lncRNA novel transcript, antisense to SLC24A3
CUGAGGGUCACCUCAAGCCCCACCUGCCCAUGAUUCUUCUGAUGGAGACUCACAACAGGCUAUGGUCUGGGCUAUCUCUGUGGGGUGCAAUGUCUGCUCUCUGUAUCAAUACAGAGGGUGACAAACACUAUGUGGAUGCCGACCGGGGCUGCAGGUCAGGGGACGGUGCUGUAAUAGGACCCAAACUUUCCAACAAAACAUUGGCCUUUUCACUUGUUCUCUUCCGAGAUUUAACAGUGCCAUGGGGUCCCGAUUGCACUCACCAUCCACACCAUCAUGUAGGAGAAGGCUGCGAUCCACAGCGUGGAGGAAGCAAACGUCACCAUGAACCAUUUCUCCCAGCGCGGCUUGUUGCAGUUGGGUACAGUGAAGUAUAAGACGAAACUCAGCGGCCAGGUGAACGCCCAUUUCACUGUUUCCAGUUUACCCGCUGGAAAAAUGAAAAAGGCCAAAAAGAAAUAAAAAAAAAAUAACAAA